UGGAGAACUUCCAGAAGAUGAAUGAAGGCCGUUACUACUGUUUCAAUGGAACAGGGAAAAAAUCUGCAGUGAAACUGGAAAUACGGCUGGGUAUACCAUGGGAUACCACGCCUGUGUACAGAAUCAGCAGGACCGGCUCGUUGCAUCUCUUUUGUGAACCUCAAUUAAGAGCAAGGCUUCAGGGCUUUUGGAGCUGGAGACAGACUGUGUCUGAAGGAGACUGCAAACGGUCUGGCUCAGACCUGGAGCACUUUGGAAAUCGAUCUGAAGUAAAGAAUGGGUCCGACAACAAAUUUUCACUGAGCAUCUCCCCUCUGCUCUGGAAUGACUCUGGACAAUACCGAUGCAUUCUUUGUAAUGGCAGCAAACCUUACAGGCAAUGCACUUAUGAAAUAAUUACAGUGAAAGUGUACUCCGAGCCCGUGGAGCUGACUGAGGGAGAGAAUGGCUCCCUGGUCUGUGCCGUUUCACACCUGAAGGACUCCACCAGACUGCUGUGGAUCGACACGCGGAGUCACCAGACGUUCUCC